UUAAAUGAAUUGACGGGGAGCACCACAACGGGUGGAGCUUGCGGUUUAAUUGGAUUCAACGCCGGAAAUCUUACCGGGACCGACAGCAAUAUGAAGGCCAGGCUGAAGACUUUGCCGGAUUAGCUGAGAGGUGGUGCAUGGCCGUCGUCAGUUCGUACUGUGAAGCAUCCUGUUAAGUCAGGCAACGGGCGAGACCCACGCCCACAGUUGCCAGCGUACUCUCUGGAGUGACGGGUACACUGUGGGGACCGCCGCUGCUAAAGCGGAGGAAGGAAUGGGCAACGGUAGGUCAGUAUGCCCCGAAUAUCCCGGGCUACACGCGAGCUACAAUGGUUGGUACAAUGGGUAUCUACCCCGAAAGGGGACGGGAAUCUCCUAAAACCAAUCUUAGUUCGGAUUGAGGGCUGCAACUCGCCCUCAUGAAGCUGGAAUCCGUAGUAAUCGCGUUUCAAAAUAGCGCGGUGAAUAUGUCCCUGCUCCUU
rnacentral:rRNA from 1 species